AUCUUAUUAUCUUAAGACCGGUAGUUGGUACGUGGGAACUGGGAGCAGACCAUACCCAUGACUGAUGUACAUGAGAUUGAGAACAAGCAAGUGCGUAUAUGGUUGGCCUAUCUCAGAGCGCUCCACGAUACAUCCCUGGCGCGAGCAGGCUGAGCAAGAAAAUAAGGAAACGGGUAAAAGAAAAAAAAACGCAACCUCCUCCUCAAUACACGCACGCAACCGCCUCCUACCCAUUUACCCAGCAGUUCCCCCAAAUCUCGUUCUGAAUAGGCGGGGCGCAGGUGGCGGCGAUGGGGGUCGAAGCCUCGGAGGAGAAGGGAGAUGCUAGCGGUGGAGGUCAAAGGAGAAGGGAUCUGGGCGGCGCUCGCGAACGGAGCUUGGGGCAGGCACUGGUCGAGGUCGGAAAGAUGGGAGAUGGAGGAAGGCAGUGGUUGAGGUCGUAGAUGGGUGGAUGUGGGGGCAUGCAGCGGUGGAGGUCGGAGGAGAUAUGAGGAGGGUGGCGCGGUAUCGAGGAAGCUGUGGAGGAGGGCGGCAACAACGAUGAGGAGGUGGGAGGAGAGCGGCGACGGCGGAGGUGAGUGGAGUAGACGAGUGGGAAAAAUUUCUGCGGCUCCACCACUUUCUUUCCCUCGCCAACGUUCAUCACAGCGAGCAGAAGCGAUGACUACAAGAUUGGUCCGUCCUUUCACCUGCCAUCGAUCUACCAUAAUUUCUCAAGAAUUUAAGUCAAUUGGAUCUUAGCAGAGCGAGCAGACUAAGUUGCUUGACUUUGGAAGGAUAGUGAGAGCACCUUCCAGUCAUCACAUGGAAACAUGGUUGGGCCCUUUGACUCAAUGGCCAUGACAAUGGAUGUGCAGCUUCAAGGCUAAGGACAUGAUCAUAAUGACAAAGAAGUCAUGAAAUUCAUUUAUUUGAGUGGUAAGAGAAGGAUUCACGUGAGAAGACAAAUAGUGGGUGUCGAGACCAGCAACCUUGCUGUCUCCGCACCAUCCCUAGGGUGCACGCCCACAACUCACCUUGGAUUAUUAAGGUGAGUUUCCCUCUCUGAUGCAUUUUCACUUUAUGCUUUAUGUGAUUUCAUAAUGAAUUUUGGGUUCAUGCUUAUGUUAUACCAAUGGCACACCAUUUUAUCAUGCAAAUGAACAGGUUAUACUAUCCUAUAGUAUUACUGCCCUGUGAUGAUUAAUUACGAGAACAACGAUAAAUAUGAUGCACCUGUUUUUUCUAAUAAUGAUGGUUGUAUAUAGUUUCAUGUUUUUUCUUGCUAUGGUAAAUUCUGGGCUGUGAUUUCUUUGUCGCAUGAAAAUAUUAGAUAAUUCUGAAGCGCCUUUCCCUUUUGUCUUUGCAAUAGUUUGUUGGACACUCAUGAGCGACAAUGCUAGCGAGGCUGCUCAAGGAACAUAUUUGGUUGCUACGAUUCAUAAAAUUUGAUGGGUAUAUUAGGUUACACUUAGAUCUGGAUGUACUAAUUUAUCUUUUUUUGUUUAUCUUUAUUUACACUGGCUCAUACUUCUCUAUGGAUAUUAAACUAUUUACUCUUGUGUUAUCUGAUCUGAAAAUCUUCCCUUGAUAUGCGGGUUUACUACUAUUUUACAUUUUGGGUUCAUUCUGAUCCAACCUAACUGACCAAAUGGAUUUGACGUGUUAUUCAUGUCAGGUUAGUGUGUGUCUUUAUUUGUGGCAAACCACAAAUAACCGAAUUGUAUAAAUAGAGUCCUACCUGAUAGCCUUAUUUCUCAUGUCGCUCAAGCUGCUGUUAUUUUAUUUUGGCUGCAGUAAAGUGUUCGUAAUUUCCCCCACUAUUAUUUUUUUGCAUUAUCUACUAAUAAAUUUUCUUGUAGGAUAUUAUUAAAAAUAAUCAAUUUACAAAUUGAUUAGUGGUUUACUGCAAGGCAAUAAUCCCUAAACUGAAAUCACCUUGGCUGCAAGGCUUAAUAACUUUUCUUGUUAUCUUCUUCACUAACAGAUGCUCUAGGAGAUAAGGAGUUUCUUAUUUACUAUUCUGGCAUUCUGAGAAGUUGUUCCAUGGGAAGAAGGAGCUCCAGUUUCAUGAUGCAUACGAAGAGAUUAUCCACCAGGUAUAUUUCACUUGCGCGAGGAGCUCCAUUUGAUGAAACAGGCUGCCAAAUCCACAUUUCUCGCUCUAUGGACAUGUCAAGGCAUCAUCCACUAUGUAUAUUUUGCUUCUGCAUAAGCUUCCAUCAGUUUAAUCUACAUUGGUCUUCAUUUUCUCACAAGAUAUUUUUCUCCCAACGUACACAUUUCCUCUCUCCAAUUUAGUUUAUCUGUUGGUUAUGAAGUACCAGCUGAUAUAUCACUUGUAUUACUUUCCAGAUCGUCUGACAGGCUGCCAAAUCUACGCUUUUUUUCUCUAGGGCGUCUGUUCAGCCACAAUGGACUUUGAUUGUUGAAUACUCAAAAACUUCUUGCAUUCACCAGAGCUUGAGCUCCAAAAAAGAGAGGUAAUCGCACAUAUCAUACCUUGUCGAUAUCAUUAUUUUAUGAAAACACAUGAAAGUUAGUGGUAAUGCUUGAUGUGUGAGUGCAUUUCCUAAUACUUUUCAUUGAAUUAAUCAUUCUUUGAUGUGCUUUAUGCUAUUUGGUUGUUCCUUCUCCAAACAAAAUAGAUAAAAAAUGUCUAUCUUGGAGGCAGAGAGUUAUUUGAGAAUGUCUUUUUGGGAGCACCUAUUUGGUGAAAAAGUUCAAGGUUUACAGACGAUGGCUCUUUUUGAAGUGACACCCGUGCAUCUGGAGGUCUGCUCUUGUCAGUAUAAUUGCUCAAGCUCUUCGCCAAGUGUGUCUUGCUUUUGUAGCUAUUUUCAAUUUAUGUUGCAAAAUACUGCAAAAUGUGAACAUGGACAUAUUCUUUUGUAAUACGUUCUGGUUGCUUCGCGCUCCAUAAUUUCAUGAUAUGUUUGUGUGAACCUAAGCACAGCGAGGGUUCACAAUUCAGCAAUGGCCGGUAGUAAGAUAAACAUGAAUACAAGCUGAGCAAUUGAUCCA